rnacentral:rRNA from 1 species
UACGUAGGGUGCAAGCGUUGUCCGGAAUUAUUGGGCGUAAAGAGCUCGUAGGCGGUCUGUCGCGUCGGCUGUGAAAUCCCGGAGCUCAACUCCGGGCCUGCAGUCGAUACGGGCAGGACUGGAGUUCGGCAGGGGAGACUGGAAUUCCUGGUGUAGCGGUGAAAUGCGCAGAUAUCAGGAGGAACACCGGUGGCGAAGGCGGGUCUCUGGGCCAAUACUGACGCUGAGGAGCGAAAGCGUGGGGAGCGAACAGG